rnacentral:rRNA from 1 species
AUUGAACGCUGGCGGCAGGCUUAACACAUGCAAGUCGAGCGGAGAUGAGGUGCUUGCACCUUAUCUUAGCGGCGGACGGGUGAGUAAUGCUUAGGAAUCUGCCUAUUAGUGGGGGACAACAUUCCGAAAGGAAUGCUAAUACCGCAUACGUCCUACGGGAGAAAGCAGGGGAUCUUCGGACCUUGCGCUAAUAGAUGAGCCUAAGUCGGAUUAGCUAGUUGGUGGGGUAAAGGCCUACCAAGGCGACGAUCUGUAGCGGGUCUGAGAGGAUGAUCCGCAACACUGGGACUGGAACACGGCCCAGACUCCUACGGGAGGCAGCAGUGGGGAAUAUUGGACAAUGGGGGGAACCCUGAUCCAGCCAUGCCGCGUGUGUGAAGAAGGCCUUAUGGUUGUAAAGCACUUUAAGCGAGGAGGAGGCUACUGAGACUAAUACUCUUGGAUAGUGGACGUUACUCGCAGAAUAAGCACCGGCUAACUCUGCGCCAGCAGCCGCCGUAA